rnacentral:rRNA from 1 species
AUUGAACGCUGGCGGCAGGCUUAACACAUGCAAGUCGAGCGGGGUGAUGGUGCUUGCACUAUCACUUAGCGGCGGACGGGUGAGUAAUGCUUAGGAAUCUGCCUAUUAGUGGGGGACAACAUCUCGAAAGGGAUGCUAAUACCGCAUACGUCCUACGGGAGAAAGCAGGGGAUCACUUGUGACCUUGCGCUAAUAGAUGAGCCUAAGUCGGAUUAGCCAGUUGGUGGGGUAAAGGCCUACCAAGGCGACGAUCUGUAGCGGGUCUGAGAGGAUGAUCCGCCACACUGGGGCGGAGGCACUGCCCAGACUCGUACGGGAGGUAGCAGGGGGGAAUGUUGGACAAUGGGGGGAACCCUGAUCCAGCCAUGCCGGGUGUGUGAAGAGGGCCUUAUGGUUGUAAAGCACUUUAAGCGAGGAGGAGGCUCUUCUGGUUAAUACCCAAGAUGAGUGGACGUUACUCGCAGAAUGAGCACCGGCUAACUCUGUGCCAGCCGCCGCAGUAA